rnacentral:tRNA from 1 species
GGGGAUUUGGCUCAGUGGUUAGAGCGCUUGCCUAGGAAGCGCAAGGCCCUGGGUUCGGUCCCCAGCUCCG